rnacentral:rRNA from 1 species
AUGCUUGCUGACCUCCAGCUGCUCCGCGCCCCUUGUUUGAACUUCUUCAGCCGCACAUUUGCCUGGUUCGGCGUUGGACCUAUGCGUCAGCAAUUAACUGUUUUUCCCAAGCUGAUGGUGGCUGAGGACGACAUGGAUGACAGCUCCCUGCUCGUCCCUGCCGACGGAGAAGAAGUUCAGGAGAGAAAGGACGGCGGACGGAGCCGGUGGCUAGUGGAACAAGGCACGCGAGACAGGGCCCUUCGCCUGAAGGAGCAGGGGCGGUGCUCGAUUGGGGGCGGGACUGCGGCGGCAUUGCCGGUUGGGGGCAGGGCAGAAGCGGCAUCAUCGGUUGGGGCGGGUUGGGGGCGGCGCAUGGGCUGCGGCUUGUGA